UACGUAGGUGGCAAGCGUUGUCCGGAUUUAUUGGGUGUAAAGGGCGUGCAGCCGGAGAGACAAGUCAGAUGUGAAAUCCACGGGCUCAACUCGUGAACUGCAUUUGAAACUGUUUCCCUUGAGUGUCGGAGAGGUAAUCGGAAUUCCUUGUGUAGCGGUGAAAUGCGUAGAUAUAAGGAAGAACACCAGUGGCGAAGGCGGAUUACUGGACGAUAACUGACGGUGAGGCGCGAAAACGUGGGGAGCAAACAGG
rnacentral:rRNA from 1 species